AUUGAACGCUGGCGGCAGGCUUAACACAUGCAAGUCGAGCGAGCGGCGGACGGGUGAGUAAUGUCUGGGAAACUGCCUGCUGGAGGGGGAUAACUCCUGGAAACGGUAGAUAAUACCGCAUACCAUCAGAUGUGCCCAGAUGGGAUUAGCUAGUAGGGGGGGUAAUGGCUCACCUAGGCGACGAUCCCUCGCUGGUCUGAGAGGAUGACCAGCCGCACUGGAACUGAGACACGGGCCAGACUCCUACGUGAGGCAGCAGUGGGGAAUAGUGCACAAUGGGAGCAAUCCUGAUGCAGCCAUGCCGCGUGUUUGAAGAAGGCCUUCGGGUUGUAAAGCACUUUCAGCGAGGAGGCGUUACUCGCAGAAGAAGCACCGGCUAACUCCGUGCCAGCAGCGGCGGUAAUAC
rnacentral:rRNA from 1 species